rnacentral:tRNA from 1 species
ACUUAUGUAGUUUAAACAAAAACAUUACAUUUUCACUGUAAAAACUAAAGUAAAACUUUCAUAAGUA